UCUCUUUGUCGUUGUGUUUCGUUUCGGAGACAUACAUCAUUAUGUCUUUCUUUCGAUAGUAACAAGUGAAGGGUAUUUUUGUCAUUUUCUUCCACUGCUCCUGAUGUCCAAGUCCAGUUGUUGUUCAAGUUUAUCAUCUUUGCUUGUCUUUAUUUGACCUCAAUCAAAGUUGCUGAUGCAAAAAUUUAAUCUAUAUUGUUGUAAAUAUAAUGUAGACACUUCCAAAUAUUAAAUAUUCUUUUUAUUUUUCUUAAAACUGAGAUUUGAUGACUAUUGUUUUGGACGUUCAAGGCUUUCCAGCUGUGGCUGAUUU